GAUGAACGCUGGCGGCGUGCCUAAUACAUGCAAGUCGAGCGAACAGACGAGGAGCUUGCUCCUCUGACGUUAGCGGCGGACGGGUGAGUAACACGUGGAUGACCUACCUAUAAGACUGGGAUAACUUCGGGAAACCGGAGCUAAUACCGGAUAAUAUAUUGAACCGCGUGGUUCAAUAGUGAAAGACGGUUUUGCUGUCACUUAUAGAUGGAUCCGCGCCGCAUUAGCUAGUUGGUAAGGUAACGGCUUACCAAGGCAACGAUGCGUAGCCGACCUGAGAGGGUGAUCGGCCACACUGGAACUGAGACACGGUCCAGACUCCUACGGGAGGCAGCAGUAGGGAAUCUUCCGCAAUGGGCGAAAGCCUGACGGAGCAACGCCGCGUGAGUGAUGAAGGUCUUCGGAUCGUAAAACUCUGUUAUUAGGGAAGAACAAAUGUGUAAGUAACUAUGCACGUCUUGACGGUACCUAAACAGAAAGCCACGGCUAACUACGUG
rnacentral:rRNA from 1 species